GCUAACAGAAGCGCCUUUAUGUAGAAUGUGUUUUGUCCUUUUGGAGAAGACAAAGAAUUGUUGAAAAAGCAGACAGCUGCUUGUACUGGCAGGAGAAUGAGAAGAGCUUUUCAGCAUGCACUCUUCCACCCUUCCUCAGCUGAAUCACCACCGUCUUCCUCUUUACCUCAUUUUGCUCUCUCUUUCCCUGGUCCAGGAACAUAGACGACAUCACCCUAUGCUUUUGCCUCCAACUCUGGGAAAACAGAACAGUCUAAUCCCUCUUUCUCUGGUUAAACCUGCAUAAGUCUCAACUCUAAUACUUUAAGCAAGUCUGACAGUUGAUAAACUUCACCUUGACUCAUAAUCAUCCUCUCAGUCUCUCUCCUUCACAAACUCACAGAUCACUCAAUGUUCCAAGAUUCAUGUAAAAAGAAGUCUUUUGUUCUAAUCACUGAGAACUUCCGGAGAAAAGAAGAAAGUUCUUCAGGGAUCUGAUGCCUACAUGCUACCUUCCUGGGUGCCAUUGGAGCUCUGAAGUUUUACCAGUUCCCCUUUCUGACAGAAGUGCCUGGGACGAAAGUCAAGAGACCUGGUGCCUGAUUCUUCAGCCCAAGCCAGUAAGCAGGACACAGCGGAGCACUCGUGGCCUCGUCAGAAGAGUAUUCAUGCCGAAUGAGCUCCGAGGAGUGCUGGAGGAAUUACUCUGUGAUUGCUUGCCAGCUUCCCCCUGUACUGGGAUCUGAGAGGAGGCAAGAUAAGCCUCCCUGUAAAAUCCUCACACCUGCUUAGACUCUGCCUCAUGCUGGCUACGCUGCCACUUUCCCCAUCUUUCCCCCACACUAGACAACAUUAAUCCAUGAUGAUAGCUAUUCCAGCAGAGCCAGAAUCUGGUGUCAGAGUCUUUUUCAAGAUAGCUCUGUAGGCAGCCACUUUGGAUCAUCCAGUCAGCAUGAGAGCGGAGACUUGUUUGCAGUCCUGCUUCCGAGUGAAUUUGUGUAAAAGUAAUUCUAAAAUCAAUGUCCAGAGAAUAGGGUUAAGAGGACAUUGGGGAAGGAACGGGCAGAGUCAGGGCUACUGGAGAACAUAGCUAUUACUUAGGUGGGGCUGCCUCAUGGCAGCCCAGGUAUAACAUGCCAGCCUUCAGAUAGGCAUGGUGAUCUCUUCCCAUUGUAUUUCCCCACUGUGUGUGUGUGUGUGUGUGACUGUGUAUCCAAGACCCAAGAUAAAUGGCUGGAGCUGUGGGUUCAGUUUGCAACCACGGAGCAAGAGGGAUCUCCCUGAUGGAGAUCAAACUGAUGUCCUUGAUUGCCCUAGUGUGGUUUUCAACCAGCUAAGCUAGCUUGUGACCAGCAGAGAAAAAUAAGGGCUCAUUGUUCAAAGUGUGGUCUGUGGCCAGCUUGUUGGCCUCCUCUGGGAAUGCGUUAGAAAUGCAGAAUCUCAAGCCUCGUUCCAGAGCUACUGAAAUAGUGAUUCAGAGGCCACGUGUGGUGGCUCACACCUGUAAUUCUAGCACUUUGGGAGGCCGAGGUAGGAGGAUUGCUUGAGGGCAGGAA